UACGGGGGGGGGCAAGCGUUGUUCGGAAUUACUGGGCGUAAAGGGCUCGUAGGCGGCCAACUAAGUCAGACGUGAAAUCCCUCGGCUUAACCGGGGAACUGCGUCUGAUACUGGAUGGCUUGAGUUCGGGAGAGGGAUGCGGAAUUCCAGGUGUAGCGGUGAAAUGCGUAGAUAUCUGGAGGAACACCGGUGGCGAAGGCGGCAUCCUGGACCGACACUGACGCUGAGGAGCGAAAGCGUGGGGAGCGAACAGG
rnacentral:rRNA from 1 species